rnacentral:rRNA from 1 species
UACGGAGGGAGCUAGCGUUGUUCGGAAUUACUGGGCGUAAAGCGCACGUAGGCGGCUUUGUAAGUUAGAGGUGAAAGCCCGGAGCUCAACUCCGGAACUGCCUUUAAGACUGCAUCGCUUGAAUCCAGGAGAGGUGAGUGGAAUUCCGGAGUGUAGAGGUGAAAUUCGUAGAUAUUCGGAAGAACACCAGUGGCGAAGGCGGCUCACUGGACUGGUAUUGACGCUGAGGUGCGAAAGCGUGGGGAGCAAACAGGG